GUUUGAUGGUGGCGCUGACCGUCUGGGCGUUGAAGCCGCCCGCAUGUCUGUUCUAGCCGGACGUCAGGCCC
rnacentral:tRNA from 1 species